AGUGAACGCUGGCGGUAGGCCUGACACAUGCAAGUCGAACGGCAGCACAGUAAGAGCUUGCUCUUACGGGUGGCGAGUGGCGGACGGGUGAGGAAUACAUCGGAAUCUACUUUUUCGUGGGGGAUAACGUAGGGAAACUUACGCUAAUACCGCAUACGACCUACGGGUGAAAGCAGGGGAUCUUCGGACCUUGCGCGAUUGAAUGAGCCGAUGUCGGAUUAGCUAGUUGGCGGGGUAAAGGCCCACCAAGGCGACGAUCCGUAGCUGAUCUGAGAGGAUGAUCAGCCACACUGGAACUGAGACACGGUCCAGACUCCUACGGGAGGCAGCAGUGGGGAAUAUUGGACAAUGGGCGCAAGCCUGAUCCAGCCAUACCGCGUGGGUGAAGAAGGCCUUCGGGUUGUAAAGCCCUUUUGUUGGGAAAGAAAAGCAGCAGGUUAAUACCCCGCUGUUCUGACGGUACCCAAAGAAUAAGCACCGGCUAACUUCGUG
rnacentral:rRNA from 1 species